rnacentral:rRNA from 1 species
UACAGAGGUCUCAAGCGUUGUUCGGAUUCAUUGGGCGUAAAGGGUGUGUAGGUGGCGCGCUAAGUCGGGUGUGAAAUUUCGGAGCUUAACUCCGAAACUGCAUUCGAUACUGGCGUGCUUGAGGACUGGAGAGGAGACUGGAAUUCAUGGUGUAGCAGUGAAAUGCGUAGAGAUCAUGAGGAAGACCAGUGGCGAAGGCGGGUCUCUGGGCCUUACCUGACGCUGAGGAGCGAAAGCGUGGGGAGCGAACAGG